GUAGGGUCAGUGGAGAGCCCGAUGUGGGAUCAUGACCUGAGCCCAAAUCAGGAGUGGGACGCUUCACUGACUGAGCCACCCCCCUGCCCCUUAAAGCAGCUCUUAAUAGAGUUUCUGUCCAUAUCUCUGCAAAAUUUAUUCAGUUCUGAAAUUUGAGGUAUAUUCUUUUAAGUGUUUUUUUUUUUUAACUGAAAUGUACUGCAUAAACAAAAGUGCACAUUAUUCUAAAUGCACACCUCGGUGGGUUUUCACAAACUGAACACACCCGAGUAACCCACACAUCAGACCAUCUACCACAGCGCCCAUGCACACCGCCCCUGCUGCUUGGGUGAAUGUUUUUAAAACUUGUAAUGCUGUAUGUUUCUUUAAACGUGUAUUAGGGAAAACAUACAAAUAUAACCGUUCAAUCAAAAUGACAGCUUCAGGGCUCUUACUGCUUAGCAUGUGAGUAAAGCAGCGUUUAAGUACAAAAGGUUGGUUACCACGAUGAAAAUGCGUAAGUGAGAGCACCAAGCCUUAAUUGUAUCCUAAUGAUGGCAUCCGUUUUGGUGGCUAAUGACAAGGAAGUGCCCGAAUGACCAAAGUUUGGUAAAUGUCGGGUUAACCUGCGUGAAGACACUUUGUUCCUUUGGUAAACAGCAGUGCCAUUUUGUUCUGACGUUUGAGUGGAGAGGAUUUAAGUCACACAUUAGGAACUGUGCACUGGGUCUGAGCGGAAUCUCCCUGAUAUUCUCAUUUGCUGCCUGUGUCGCUCCUGCAGGAAUGGGGCUCCUCCGGCCCGUCUUGGGGACUUGGGUCUGGGUUCUUCAUCUGCAGCUCUUAGAUUCACGCUGCACGCUGGCCUCGCAUUGACUGUGUAUGUCAGCCCCCCAUGUGUUGUCACACAUGGACUUAACCAUGAUGAAUGCGUUCCCAGAUGGGCCUGUAAUGACUCCGUUAACUUAACCCCGAAUCAAGACUCUCCUGUCCAGAACCAGGGUAGCAGAAACCCAGGACAGCCUGCGUAGCAAUUCAAAAGGGCAGCAGAGACAGCUAGUCAGUUCAUAAUGAGCAAGGAGACAAGCAAUGAAAAGAGAGCCCAAGGAUGGCCUGAUAGUUUCACAAAGUCUCAGCACUCAACCAGGCUCAUGUUAAUAAAAUAAACAAAUGUUUUUGGUCACGGAGAGCUAAUGUGUACAUUAUUUAAGGAUAAUAUUAAAACCAGAUUAGAUGGGUCAAGUAACACAGCGGUUCCCUCAUUAAGCAUCUUCUCUUUGGAGAUGUGGGAAAGUUGCUCUCUUUCUGUUUUUCUUCUUUCCUUGUGAAAUGGGGCUUUAUUAAUUAGAGAUGUAAUGGGAAAUCUUUUUUUCUUUUCCCCCAGACUAGUGGCUGUUUUCUGUUUAUUUUGUAAUGUAGGACCAUGCUUUGCAGAUGUUCUCUUUGAAAUAGAAGCCUAUUCAUUGUCUCUCUUUCUCUCUCUCUUUUAUCCCCAGCUCCGAAGGGGCAGCCGUUGUAAAAGACACAAACAGAGAACCCCAUUUACUUGUCAUCAGGCGGUUACAGAAGAUUCCAUCCCUGAUAAGACGAGGUGAUGACAGUGAACGGGUUAGAGAAGGUAACGCGGAGGUGGGGCGCAUUCACGGAAAAUGGCCGGGUUUGCAACUGGGCCUGGCCUGGAUUCACUCUUCUGAGGUCAAGAGGCUGACUGCUGUUUUGACUCUCUUUUAGGGUAAAAAAAAAUAAAAAAAAAAAAAACAAAUCAUGUGGAGCAAACAAACCCUCUGUCGGAAGGACAGCAGGCGGUAUGAACCCCCAACAAGAGUGGACACUUUCUAGAAAAUCCCUUUGGGCCACAGAUGGAAUAAAGGCAGUGCUGAAUUCUC